rnacentral:tRNA from 1 species
ACCCAUUUUGCUCAGUGGUUAGAGCAUCAGUCUGCAGACUGAAGGGUCUCAGGUUCGAUUCCAGUUAAGGGCA